UCCCAAAGUGCUGGGAUUACAGGUGUGAGCGAGGAUUUUUCUCUCUUAAGUUGUGAAUAAGCAUUGAGUCUGCUGAAUUAUUUCACUGUGAAAUGUAAAAUGAUCAUAUGGUUUCCCUUCUUCAUCUGUUAACGCAUUAUAGGACCUAAUGGACUUUACAGUACUCUAAUGUCAAACCAUUUUUGUAUUCCUGGUCGUAUUCCUUUCUUUCCUUCCUUUUCUCUCAUUGUUUAAACAAGUUUAAUACACAAACAGAGAUGUAUACAAAUCAUACAUGCAGAACUCACUAUAUCCAGGUAAAGAAAGGCUGGGCAUGAUGGCUCAUGCCUGUAAUCCCAGCACUAUGGGAACUCGAGUUGGGAGGAUCGCUUGAGGCCAGGAAUUUGACAUCAGCCUGGGUAAUAGAGCGAGACCCUGUCUCUAUAAAAAAAGUUUUAAAA
rnacentral:lncRNA from 10 species